CAGAGUCCACUAGCACUUACUGACUUUGGAGAAGAGCAGGGAAGGAGAGAGAGGGGCACAGCAUCCCUCCGGCGCAACUUUACCAGGGGCUCCUAGCACCCACACACCGCCACGGCCCGUUCCACUCAUCUCCGUUGGCGCUGGACACACCGAGCCCGGCUGCAUGAAACCUUAAACCUUUUCACACCCCACCACGCCGGGGGUGCAAGGCGCUAUCGUCUGCAUGUCAGGGUCUGCCGGGCCAAGGAUGGGAGCUGCUGGAGGCAGGACAGUGGCGUUUCACGGGGGACGGCUCCUCCUCACGCCGAAGCCGCUCACUCGGGUGGCACGGAGGGGACGCAGGCGUCGCGGCGCGGGUCCGUGGAGGUUGGAAAACCUGUCCACAGAGUGAUGCUCCCGGGGGUCCCGCAGCCUGGAGCCCCCACUGAACCCCGCGGUCAGGGACCGGAUGACCCGGGCAUCUUCUGCCAGUAGCGUCUUUCCCCCCCAAAAAAGCACUUUGUGCUUUUUUGUGAGAGUUCACUCUUGGCUAUCAACCUACAAGCUGUCAGACAAACGGUUGAAACGCUGACAAUGUUGGGGUGCCCCAGCGAGGGUUUUCUCAGUGCCAAAGGUAGUGCUGGAUGGACGUAGCACUGUUCUGUGGAGGUGAAGAGCCUUGCUGCACACACACGGAGAGUCGGGUGUGUGGCUGGCUCCCGUCUGCCCAAAGAUACACACCUUUCUCAAACAGACCAGAAACUAGAGCGUGUCUGGGGAGCAGGCACAUGUAGUGGGACCCCCCACUUCAUUCACACUGCUGGUGUUCAAGAGAAAGGACACUUUGGGUACAAAAGUGGCUGCUGACCAAACUGGCCAGACACCACAUCCCUGCUGAACUGGUAACACCCGCUGUCUAGCAGAAGGCACUGGUUCUGCAUCCCUUGAGGAAAUUGUCGCAGCUCUGAUGGGCGUUCUGCUGCCUGGUGCUCUUCCUGCAAGGUGUGGUGCAAGACUUGGAAGCAAAACCUAGUGCGGGCUCCCCGAUAGCCGACGGUGAUUAC
rnacentral:lncRNA from 14 species